AGAGUUGUAGCUCAGUGGUAGAGCGCUUGCCUUGUACAUGUGAGGCACUGGGUUCGAUUCCCAGCACCUUAU
rnacentral:tRNA from 1 species